GGCGGCAGGUUUUCUCUCAUCUCCCUCUGCUCCCAACCGGCCACAACGGAGCCUUUGUUAAGUUGUAAGGGUGGACUGCCAUUUUUGUUCUCAUCUUUUCUCCUGUUUAUUUAGUUAGGGAGGCUGUAUCCUGCUGGGGAUGGCUGCUGCCAUCAAGGAGUGUCAUUGCUAUGAGGAGGGAAUGUCUGGUCUGAAGCUACUCAGAUGAGUGUUGAAACAUCUUCUCAAAACUCUACAAGUCCAGUAGUGUUUUUUUAACGCCUUUUCAAUAACCAUGACCUGGAUGGCUGGGAACCUUCACCGACACCUGAACCUCUACUGCAGCUGAAAUAUAAGCAUAAUUUCUGACCACCAACUACAAAAGAGACUAAACAUUACUGAACUGCAGACUAUAUAUAGAUGUAGUGGGGAGCCACUGACUAGAUGUGAGCGCCUUUGAGCACGACACAUAACCUUCAACAGCUGCAUCUGCUCAGCGUGCAGACUGUGUUUAUUCAACAGCUGGCAGGUGUGAAUGAGUCCAUCAGUGCGACGGUGAAGCAGAGCGUCACUGACGUGCUCACUCAGCAGAACUUCCCCUGAAAGAGUAAAGUGGUGCACCACGGGAAAACUAAAUCCAUCACGCACUGGCUUAUGUGUCAGGUUUAAGCAUACUGAUCUUUAUUUUGUCAUUUCAUGUUCCCUCACCGUAGAUUUUCAUCCUUAAUACUGUUUUGUUUAUUUUUUUGUAUUAGUGUGUGUGUUGCAUAUGUUUCAUGUACCACAAGCUGCAGUUUAAAUCCUGAUCUGUUCAGAUGCUAUAGGACACUUACCAUGAUUUGUUGAGUAUCCGUCCUUGAGCACAAAUGGACAUUUGUGCAGAAUGUGAAAAUAUUCCAUGAAAGCAUUUUGCUAUCACCAGAAUAGGACUGACGUAUAUGGUCUAUAAAAUCUAAUCAGUUCAUCUUUAAACUCCAACGUUUGUGACCAAGCUGGAGAAAUUCUCUCAAAGCCUUCCUGAGGUAUUGAGUUUUUACACUUGUGUAGCCAGUAAAACUUUCAUCAUCAAACUGUAACCAGUUCAAGUUCAAGAACAUUCUUCUGAUUGGUUUUAAAGUGCUGCUCAGCCUAGGUGUGGCUAUCAAAAGCAUGAUGGAAAAUACACGUCUCCCAUACUGUUUAAAUUGAAUUGGUUAGAUCAACAACAUACGUUUAUUUUUGUUUUAUGGAGAGGUUUGAUUUUAUUUGCGUCGUGUCAUGUUUAUUUUCACAGCAGAGUAAAUGUGCUCAGCUGAGUUACAUACAGUCGUGAUCUGACAGGAUGAUGACUUGCAGGAUAAUUCAAGCAAAAUAAAAGCUCUGCUCCCCCA